GAUGAAGAACGUAGCGAAAUGCGAUACUUGGUGUGAAUUGCAGAAUCCCGUGAACCAUCGAGUCUUUGAACGCAAGUUGCGCCCGAAGCCACUAGGCCGAGGGCACGCCUGCCUGGGCGUCACACGCCGUUGCCCCCCCAUCUACUCCUUCGGGAUUGCGGGGGGGCGGAUGAUGGCCUCCCGUGCCCCUAGCCGCGCGGUUGGCAUAAAUACCAAGUCCUCGGCGACGCACGCCACGACAAUCGGUGGUUGCGAAACCUCGGUUGCCCGUCGUGUGCGUUCGUCGCGCAUCGAGGGCUCGAAAAAAUGCUCGGCUCCGGCUGGGCUUUCAACGCGACCCCAGGUCAGGCGGGGUUACCCGCUGAAUUUAAGCAUAUCAAUAAGCGGAGGA
rnacentral:misc_RNA from 1 species